rnacentral:rRNA from 1 species
AUUGAACGCUGGCGGCAGGCCUAACACAUGCAAGUCGAACGAGUGGCGGACGGGUGCGUAAUGUCUGGGAAACUGCCCGAUGGAGGGGGAUAACUACUGGAAACGGUAGCUAAUACCGCAUACCAUCGGAUGUGCCCAGAUGGGAUUAGCCAGUAGGUGGGGUAACGGCUCACCUAGGCGACGAUCCCUAGCUGGUCUGAGAGGAUGACCAGCCACACUGGAACUGAGACACGGGCCAGACUCCUACGGGAGGCAGCAGUGGGGAAUAUUGCACAAUGGGCGCAAGCCUGAGACAGCCAUGGCGAGUGUAGGAAGAAGGCCUUCGGGUUUUAAAGUACUUGCAGCGGGGAGGCGUUACCCGCAGAAGAAGCACCGGCUAACUCCGUGCCAGCAGCCGGGGUAAUUG